rnacentral:rRNA from 1 species
CCUACGGGAGGCUGCAGUGAGGAAUAUUGGUCAAUGGACGAGAGUCUGAACCAGCCAAGUAGCGUGAAGGAUGACUGCCCUAUGGGUUGUAAACUUCUUUUAUAAAGGAAUACAAUGAUGCACGUGUGCCUUUUUGUAUGUACUUUAUGAAUAAGGAUCGGCUAACUCCGUGCCAGCAGCCGCGGUAAUACGGAGGAUCCGAGCGUUAGCCGGGUUUAUUGGGUUUAAAGGGAACGUAGAUGGGUUGUUAAGUCAGUUGUGAAAGUUUGCGGCUCAACCGUAAAAGUGCAAUUGAUACUGGCAGUCUUGAGUACAGUUGAGGUAGGCGGAAUUCGUGGUGUAGCGGUGAAAUGCUUAGAUAUCACGAAGAACCCCGAUUGCGAAGGCAGCUUACUAAACUGUGACUGACAUUGAGGCUCGAAAGUGUGGGUAUCAAACAGGAUUAGAUACCCUAGUAGUC